CCGGCAACCUCUACUGCUUUACCUGUAGCUAUAGAUGUUUCUUCAUGGCAACCACCUGUGCUUCCAAACCACAUCACCAAGAUCAUUGCAGAAGAAACCUGUAAUUUUAGGCUGAGGCAUUAAGACCUAUUGAUUGCUGCAGAACAGUGAUGGAAGACAGUGGACAGUCAGAAAACAGCCUCGUGCAGGAAACAGCCAGGACCACAAUGAAGAUUGUGGCCAAAGAACAAGUUGCUGUCACAGAAUAGCCCUACCAUAUCCCACAGGUCAAACAGGUUUCCUCUGAAGACCUGUUGAAGUGGAAACUCCUUUGGCAGCCUUGCAGCUUUUAUGGCUCCAGGCCUAUCCAUACCUCCCCAGGAGUGGUUGGACUGUGCAGCUGUGACUCGUGCUGUGACAUGCUGUGACUCUUGGGGUGUCCUGUGCAGGGUCAGAAGCUGGACUUGAUGAUCCUGGUGUGUCCCUUCUGGCUCAGGAUAUUGUAUGACUCGAUGACUCCAAACCCACACCUCACAGCACAGGAAAUGAGAAUAGUGAUCUGAUUUCUUGGCCAAGCCUUGACAGACUGCCUUCAGAAGGAGAAGAUGGGAAACUGAUUUUUAACAGUGACUCAGUGUCAUCAUCUUCAGCCCAGCCCCGACUCAAACUAUCAAACAACCUGUACUGAAUAAGGAAGAAAUCUGCACCCCAGGUUUCCUGCAUGCAAGCAAGAAGCAACAAAAAACCCCUGAAGUUCUAUAUAACUGCAUUCCUGAAGACUUUCCAGAUUGUAUUACUAUGUAGUCAAUGGUCCAGAAAGAAAAUGAGUAUAAGGAGAAUUUAUGAACCUUGUGCAAAAAGAGAGAUGAGUGAAUUGCACUUUUAUUUCACAUUAAUUCCCUCUUUUUUGUCAUCCUCCUGUUAACUGUACACAGAAAAGUUUGAACUUGAUCUUAAUGCCAAAGUAGAAAAGAUGGGUUUUAUAAUUCAAAAUAUGUUGUGCAGUUAAGAACUACUAGUUCCUAUCCAUUUCCAUUCAUGAACAAAGGAAAUAUAUACUAUAGGCUGUAAUUCAAGACUCAAAGGCAUGGGAGGGAUCCCAAAUUUACUUUGCUUUGCUUUGUCCAGUUGCUGCCUUACAUCUGACCUUCCUCACAUCACAGUCUUUCCACCAUAUUCCUGGGUGCUACUGCCCAUGUUUUCAUUGCAGAAAAUAUAGAAAUCUUACAUUGGCCAAUCUUUCUCUCUGUGCAGUUCACAUCUAAAGGCCAUCAUGCACCACAGUCAUAUGGAUUUGACUAUUUUUUGAGUUAAAUAUGCUUUUGAGUGGAAAAAGAGAGGGGCAUCUCUCUGCAAAGUGGACAAACUCUUGCAGCUCUGAGGCAACUCUUGCAAAGAGUUGCACAAAAAAAAAAAAAAGCUGAAAGCUAAGUUUUAUGCCUGAGGGACAGUGACCAGGGUAACAGGGUAAUUUUCUUCUGCUCUCUUUGUGCAUCCAGUAUAAACACAUCUGUAUUUGUUGGACUUUGAGGAUGAGUAAGUUGCAUAAGUGGAGGAUCUGCUCUACCCAAGAUUAAAGCAAUAGGUCCUGGUAUUUUGACAAAGCCAGUCAACAGCAAACCUAGACUUUUCAGACCAGGUUACCUGGACUUAAGGUAUUUGAAGUGAGUCAACCAGACAGAGAACACUGUUGAGUCUGGUCCUUUAAUGGGGAGUAAUUCACAUGGCAACACCUUGGACUGUUGUCAACAUUUCUUCAGUACUGAAUCAGCCUGGAGCAGCAGCUGCAAGAGUACUCAACUUAUCAGAAAGCACAUUUUGAUGUCUACCUAAAUGGGAGAAUACAUUUAAAAACUUAGGUGGAACUACAAAAAUCUGGUCCCUUCACAAUGCAUCAUUCAACCUUUCAAGUGUCUCCAUGUCCCUCCCAACUCCUAGACCUACCUGCAGCUGAAUAGAAAGAGUGAAAUCACCUAAGAUGGCAGAGCUGUUCAAGCCUUGCUGUUGUCUGAGAGGAAGCAGAAAUUACUUCUCUGUCUGCCUGUCCCCUGCUACAGAGACCUGCCUCCUCUUUUGCAGUUCUGUGGGAGCUCGGUGAGCUCGGGGUGCUGCACUGGGAUCUCUGUUCACACAAAGCAGAGUGGUGCUGUGCCAUGGCCUGCUGGGAUAACUCUGCCAUCAAGUGAAGGAGCAGACAGCCUUUUAUAGACCCACUGCUGACCUUGUUAAAACCAUAAGGAUGUUCUCUUCCCCCUAAAUGCAUGGUCCGGAAAAUAUUUGUGCUCAUGCAAAUUUUGGAAGAGAUGUCAAAAGGAGGAUAUUUUUUGUAAGAUGAUGACAUAUUUUUGCAAUUCUACUGCUUUUAAGAUGCCAUACAUUGAAAUGAAACCUUGUAAAUUUUCUAAUGAUACUUGUAAAGUUUGUUAGUGUAAUACCUUUAUCAAUUUUCAGGUUAUGCUGGUGCUUUUUUGAAAACAACAACAAACAUGAUAAAAUGCAGUUUGUUAAAAAUUGAAGUGUUUCUUAGAAAUUUUCUCCUAAAAAAUAAAUUAAAGUCUUAGAGCACAUUUUCUGUUUUCUUAUGUCAAGGCAUUUCAUAAAUGUCAAAAUAGCUUUUCUUUAAUCUAUAGCGUACAUUAAUGUGCUGUAUGUGUAUAGAAAUUAUGUUACUAGAUGGUUAAUGUAACACCCUUUGAGUUUUAUAAUGAAAGGAGAACAAAAUCUUUUCAUGAUGUUGGCAAAUACUUAGAUAUUAUUGAAAUUACUACUUUUAGGGUUUAAUUUAAUGGUAAAUUUUUCAUUUCAAGGUAAAUAUAUGAUUUUUGUGACUUUUGACUUGGAUAUGAAUUAAUAUAUUUCUACUAACUUCUAGGAAUGUCUUCAGAACACAAAUCGUGUUUAAUGAGUUUUCUUCACCUUUUUGUAAAGUAACAACACACAUUUUCCCACAAGAUGGCAGAGGCGAGUUGUGCAAUUUAUGGGCAAAUAUGUAUGGAGACACGUGAAAAUCUGAAAAUAGAAGAUACAGGCUCAAUAAACCAACAACAAAACAGAGUAUCAUGUAUUAUAUUUGCAAAGAAUGACCAUUUCCAAAGAUGCUGGUGCAGAGUGAGUGGAGACGUGGUGGAAACCAUCAGUGGUGCAAACACAGGAGACAAGGCCAGCUCGCAGCAGCUCAGGAGCUGUCCACAUGAGUUCAGCCCUUCCUAAGUCACGGCUCUCUAUGAGGGAUGGUAGAUUUACUCAAGGUAGUGUAAAACCUUCCUGUGAGAUUUCCAUGAGGAAAUGGUUCAUCCAAAUGGAUCCCAGCCGAGGUUAAGGAUGGCCAUUCAGAAAGCAUGGCUUGGCCCCAUCCAGCACAUGCACUUGUUGAUAAAGAGUCACUCCUGGAUACCCGUGUCUUUCCAAAACAGGAGAGAGGCAGCUGAGGGUGUCUGCUCUACAAUGUAGCAGGGAAUUCUGGCUGAGACAGAUUCCUGGUCUUUUCUGCUGACAUUGUCGAGUCAGACCAAGUUCCUACUUUUUCAGAUGGGCUCCCAGCAAGGUGAUAUCACCUCGCCCUUCACAGGCAAGGAGAGCUGCCACACAGCCUCAAAGCCAGCAGUGCAGCAGACAGCGGGGAUGGACUGACGCUCUCAGCUGCUGUAGGGGGAACAAGAAGAAGCAAGACUUAUUGCAGUUUCAGGUUCCCACUGCUGUUUGGAUGUCCCAAAGAAUGGGAAGAGUCUGAUUCCCAAAACACUACCAUCAUUUGUACAAAUCAGUUUCACAGAAGUAAAAUUCAACUUGGCUUCUGAAAUCAGUUGUCUGCAAAAACAACCAGAGAAGCUGAAAUUAAAAAGAAUUUGCCUAAAAUGAGUUUUGAGUUUGCUUCUGUUGUGGUAUCAUCUUUUUGAUGUUGAAUUAAUCUUAUCCAAAUACAGGAUUCCAAAUGGAAGCCACUAAUGCUUAACAAUAAAUAAGACAUAAUCUCACCUUUUCCAAGUGUUCUCGACCAUGCUCUGAAGAUUUUGAAAGUUUUACCUCUGUUGUGAGUUGGUUUAAACUUUUGACCGCAUUGUCACAGAAGGAAAAUAUACUCAUAAAAAAGUCACUAUAAACUUUCAUUUGGAAAACCUUUUUUAAAAAAAUCUAUAUUCCUUACAAACCAUUACCACUUUUAGAAAGUACAACCAAAGGAUAUAGGAAUAGGAAUGACUUUUGUGCUUUUUAAUUUUUCUAACUGUGACAAGAAAGUGUAGGUCACAUAUGAAGUUUCAGGUUGUUUGCACAGUCUCACAAGCACGUGGUGGCUUGUAGUUGAGCACAACAGAACAAAUGGAGUUGGCAUUUUCUUUCAAAUUCCUGGUGAGAAAUCUGGAUUACAAAUUGAAGGGAAUGGGCUUAAAAUAGAUGGUAUAACAAAUUGUUAUUUUUUAAAAAUCUUGCAUGCACAAACAAGAGCAGAUAUUGCUUAGCUUUCCACAUUUUUUACACAUUGGAGAAUAAUAUUAUUGUGUGUAUUAUCUUGUAUGUAUUACUCUGUAAAAUCCCAAAAAAGCAAUAUGCAAAAGUGUCAAUAAUUCAUGUUUGUAUAUCACUUGGUUUUGGAAAGAGGAAGGCUGAAUCUGGGAUGUAAGUCAGAUUCAUAUAAAGAAAAUAAACAAAUUAAUUUAAGCCAGCUUUCUCUUUUGAAAAUGAAAUAAAAUAUAUUAUUUCUUAUGCAUUUUAUUUAUCUCAGCAUCUCUUAGUUUGGGCCAUUUACAAGUAACAUUAAAGUAUUUCAUGAUAUUUGGCUCCAAAAAGACGUUGGAAAGUGAGUUUACUCUACAUUUCAUCAGAAACAAGGAUUCUGGGAUGAUUGCAUUUUCAACUAUUCUGUUGAUAAUAGGUCAGAAAAAGAUCUGAUCCGUUCUUCUAGCUCUUUUCAUCUACUAAUUGGAAAAGAAUAACAGUAUUUUGUUUACAUAAUGCUACAAGUAGCUCUCUGAACACAAACAAGGAAUGAAGAUAUCAGUACUUUGUCAUUACUUUCUAAAUUAGAAGUUUUACAAAUAGUGCAAACUAAAGAAGGAGGAAAAAAGAUUGAAGUUCAUAUUACAGUGGAUUCAACAGUUCUGUCUGACUUUCGGUUUACAGCUGAAGUAAAAUGUUUUCUCUAUCCUUCAGGUACUUUCAGAAUUUCAGCCUGGCUUAUGUAUGAAUGUAUGAGUUUUUCCAAGAUCUAUCUUUCUCUGAUUGAGAGGCUUCACAUUUUUGUUUAUUGCUUACAGGUUGAAGAAAUUCACUUCUAUAUUUGGAAACUUCAUGAGGUUCUGUAAAAAGACGGAGCAAAAAGACACCGCUCCAGUAGAGCUUAUUGCCCUCUCUGAGAAAUGAUGCAUGGAACACUCUUUUAAAAGAAAUUUAAAUAAAAUGUAUAAUUAAAAUUCAGGUAUAAAUUCACCUUUUUCCUUGGUUAUUUUGAGCAAAGUAUGUCAAUUU